AUUGAACGCUGGCGGCAUGCCUUACACAUGCAAGUCGAACGGUAACGGGCCUUCGGGUGCCGACGAGUGGCGAACGGGUGAGUAAUACAUCGGAACGUGCCCGAUCGUGGGGGAUAACGAGGCGAAAGCUUUGCUAAUACCGCAUACGAUCUACGGAUGAAAGCAGGGGACCGCAAGGCCUUGCGCGGACGGAGCGGCCGAUGGCAGAUUAGGUAGUUGGUGGGAUAAAAGCUUACCAAGCCGACGAUCUGUAGCUGGUCUGAGAGGAUGAUCAGCCACAAUGGGACUGAGACACGGCCCAGACCCCUGGGGGAGGCAGGGGGGGGGAUUUUUGGAAAAGGGGGGGAAGCCUGCACCACCCAGGCCGGGGGAAGGAUGAAGGCCUUGGGUUUGUAAACUGUUUUUGUAGGGAACGAAAACCCUUUUUUUAAAACAGGAGGGUCAUAGGGGUACCGAAAGAAUAAGCCCCGGCAAACUCAGU
rnacentral:rRNA from 1 species